rnacentral:rRNA from 1 species
UGGGGAAUAUUGCACAAUGGGCGAAAGCCUGAUGCAGCGACGCCGCGUGAGGGAUGACGGCCUUCGGGUUGUAAACCUCUUUCAGCAGGGACGAAGCGCAAGUGACGGUACCUGCAGAAGAAGCACCGGCUAACUACGUGCCAGCAGCCGCGGUAAUACGUAGGGUGCAAGCGUUGUCCGGAAUUACUGGGCGUAAAGAGUUCGUAGGCGGUUUGUCGCGUCGUUUGUGAAAACCAGCAGCUCAACUGCUGGCUUGCAGGCGAUACGGGCAGACUUGAGUACUGCAGGGGAGACUGGAAUUCCUGGUGUAGCGGUGAAUUGCGCAGAUAUCAGGAGGAACACCGGUGGCGAAGGCGGGUCUCUGGGCAGUAACUGACGCUGAGGAACGAAAGCGUGGGUAGCGAACAGG